CACAAUUUUUUUAAAUUUUUAAAGUACAUGUAAUAAUCUAUUGUUCGUUCUUUCGCUCAUAAACCGUGGUCAUACGUUAGGGAGAUGUUAUAAGCAUCAAAGACGAAGUACUGAAUAAAGGGUUAACCAAAACGUGUAGCUUCACCUUGCUAAAAUGAGCACAAGGUAAUUCAUUAAAACUGUUGUAAUGAUACAAUCACAACGCAAGACACCUCCAUCCAUUCAGUUUUACGUACCGAAGCGCCACGAACAUACACCAAUGGUAGAAGUCGUCAGCGAUAAUGUGCAUCUCACACUGAUUUUCCCCGAUAUUAAUCUGUCGGUCCAGAAACCAACGCGGCGCUGUGAAUAAUCCAACGACCCAUGGGAAGAUCACCAGAAGAAUCUUUAUCACUUCACGUUGUUUGCAUCCCACCCAGAAGGCGAUGCGGGCAUGAUUUAGUGCCAAUCCGAGCAGAUUCAUACAAAAGACACCCGACAUGACCUCUUCCGCAAACAACCUACAAUGCCCCAUGAAGAAUUUCAAAAAUGCUUGAGAAUAUCACAGAAUCUUGAAUAACUCACGAGAAGAGGCACCAGCUGGGACUGAAAUACCAGAUCCGCGUAACACGAAAACUAACCAUCCACGGAAUGAUAAUCAGCGACUAUGACCCACAGCAGGAGCGUGUUCACCAGUAAUCCGAUGAAGAUGCCAAACGCCAGCAAAAUCAACGGUGCGCCAUGUUUUAACCACCACUCACUGGACCCGAUGUGGAGUUCAUCCAAGAAACUGUCCUCCAGAAUGUGCACCGAGGCAUUACCGGAUGCUACAGAAUCCAUGUUAUCUGCAUUUCAAACGUUUUCUAGCGUACCAGGGUUCAAAAUUGUUUGGUUUUUAACUGAAAUAUCAUGAUGAAGAGUGUUUUUAACGAGGCGUUCGCCAGCAAUAAAAACGUCGUCAUAGUUCA